UUAAAUGCUAUGAAAAGGAAGAGUACUUAAAAUAACCCUUGUAGAGAGUGAAAGUUUGGUGAAAUUUCACAGGUGGAAUCUUAAGGAAAAUCGCCUUGGAGUAGAUUGCUGAAAUUUUAGUAAGUAUAUCCGUAAUCCUGCGUUAAAGGAUAGAACAUGUUUGUGUUUGAGAAAGUUACACUAUUUUUAUAGGUGGUAUAGCGAAGAUAGACUUCGUCCUAUUU
rfam:Clostridium tetani E88, complete genome.